CGAUGGAGGUCAGAGGAGCAUUUCUCUAAGCCCUAGGCCCAAUCCAAAAUUCGAUCGGCUCGAGGAGGUAGUCAGGGGUUGAGGGAGGAUAUGAUAAUUGCCUAUGUGAGAUGCACCUAAAAAGUUUAGAAAGAGAUCGAUGGAAGUGAUGCAUUUUUGUUCUUAUUAUUGUAGUUACAGGAUAAGCUUGGAUGGUCUGUUACAUCAUAGA
rnacentral:lncRNA from 1 species